CUAAAUCAGGGGUCUCAAUCCGGGGUCUGUGGAGGUACUACAGGGGUUCUCAAUCCGGGGUCUGUGGAGAUACUGCAGGGGUUCUCAAUCCGGGGUCUGUGGAGGUACUGCAGGGGUUCUCAAUCCGGGGUCUGUGGAGGUACUGCAGGGGUUCUCAAUCCGGGGUCUGGGGAGGUACUGCAGGGGUUCUCAAUCCGGGGUCUGCGGAUGUACUGCAGGGGUUCUCAAUCCGGGGUCUGUGGAGGUACUGCAGGGGUUCACAAUCCGGGGUCUGUGGAGGUACUGCAGGGGUUCUCAAUUCGGGGUCUGUGGAGGUACUGCAGGGGUUCUUAAUCCGGGGUCUGUGGAGGUACUGCAGGGGUUCUCAAUCCGGGGUCUGUGGAGGUACUGCAGGGGUUCUCAAUCCGGGGUCUGUGGAGGUACUGCAGGGGUUCUCAAUCCGGGAUCUGGGGAGGUACUGCAGGGGUUCUCAAUCCGGGGUCUGCGGAUGUACUGCAGGGGUUCUCAAUCUGGGGUCUGUGGAGGUACUGCAGGGGUUCACAAUCCGGGGUCUGUGGAGGUACUGCAGGGGUUCUCAAUUCGGGGUCUGUGGAGGUACUGCAGGGGUUCUUAAUCCGGGGUCUGUGGAGGUACUGCAGGGGUUCUCAAUUCGGGGUCUGUGGAGGUACUGCAGGGGUUCUCAAUCCGGGGUCUGUGGAGGUACUGCAGGGGUUCUCAAUCCGGGGUCUGUGGAGGUACUGCAGGGGUUCUCAAUCCGGGGUCUGUGGAGGUCCUGCAGGGGUUCUCAAUCCGGGGUCUGUGGAGGUACUGCAGGGGUUCCUUGGCACCCUGACUGUACUCGUUGCAAUGUUAGACAUUUGAUAGAAUUUCCACAUGACACAACCACUUUGCCUUCUCUUAAUGAUUACCUAAUAUAAUGGAAUGCAUCUUUUAGACAAUAUAACCGUUAUAUCAACACUUCCGUUGAUCAACACUCUUCACUUCCGUUUAACAAUUCUAAAUAUCUUUGGCAUAGAAGGUAUCAAGUCCCUUGCCAAUAAUGUUGCCCACAACGUUGCAUACAAUGUUCAUUUUCAUCAAACACAUAUUACAACCUAGAUGCCUUCAACUGCCCCAUUUACAGCCAUGCACAAUUUAGGAUUAUUAUUUAACAACAUGAUGUUGUGUCCAAAGGGAGAACUUGAAAUAACAUGAUGUAGAUAAUUAAAUCAUCAGAAGAACAACGUGUUUAUUAUUAUACACUCUUAGAACAGAAGGUUCCUUCUAGAACCAAAAAGGCUUCUAUCACUUCCUUAAUAUAUGGAAGCACUAAAACAUUAUAUAUAUAUUUUGGUUCAGUGAAGAAGAACCUCUAGAGUUCUGAUCAACAGAAAGUUAAUGUUUAGAGGAUGUGAAUCAAGCAGCCUUCCAGUCAUCAGAUCACUUCUGGUGAAGGUUAAUGUUUAGAGGAUGUGAAUCAAGCAGCCUUCCAGUCAUCAGAUCACUUCUGGUGAAGGUUAAUGUUUAGAGGAUGUGAAUCAAGCAGCCUUCCAGUCAUCAGAUCACUUCUGGUGAAGGUUAAUGUUUAGAGGAUGUGAAUCAAGCAGCCUUCCAGUCAUUAGAUCACUUCUGGUGAAGGUUAAUGUUUAGAGGAUGUGAAUCAAGCAGCCUUCCAGUCAUCAGAUCACUUCUGGUGAAGGUUAAUGUUUAGAGGAUGUGAAUCAAGCAGCCUUCCAGUCAUCAGAUCACUUCUGGUGAAGGUUAAUGUUUAGAGGAUGUGAAUCAAGCAGCCUUCCAGUCAUCAGAUCACUUCUGGUGAAGGUUAAUGUUUAGAGGAUGUGAAUCAAGCAGCCUUCCAGUCAUCAGAUCACUUCUGGUGAAGGUUCAUGUUUAGAGGAUGUGAAUCAAGCAGCCUUCCAGUCAUCAGAUCACUUCUGGUGAAGGUUAAUGUUUAGAGGAUGUGAAUCAAGCAGCCUUCCAGUCAUCAGAUCACUUCUGGUGAAGGUUAAUGUUUAGAGGAUGUGAAUCAAGCAGCCUUCCAGUCAUCAGAUCACUUCUGGUGGGUUUUUUCCCGGCCCGGGAUUUGAACCAGCCACCUUUUGGCCACAGCACCAACUCCUCAGCUGCUGGGUGAAAGCCUGAGUUAAUCAGCCAAAAUGAAGACAAAAU